rnacentral:rRNA from 1 species
UACGGGGGGUGCAAGCGUUGCUCGGAAUUAUUGGGCGUAAAGGGUUGGUAGGUGGUCUUGUUUGUCUAAGGUGAAAUCCCAUGGCUUAACUGUGGAAGUGCCUUAGAAACGGCAAGACUAGAGUCCUAGAGGGGUUUGUGGAAUUCCCGGUGUAGCGGUGAAAUGCGUAGAGAUCGGGAGGAACACCAGCGGCGAAGGCGGCAAACUGGAUAGGAACUGACACUCAACAACGAAAGCGUGGGGAGCAAACAGG